GACAGAGGUCCCGAGCGUUAGGCGGAAUCACUGGGCUUAAAGCGUGUGUAGGCGGAUUGGUAAGUACCUUGUGAAAUCCCACGGCUUAACCGUGGAACUGCUUGGUAUACUGCUUAUCUUGGGCCACUUAGGGGUUACCGGAACAAACGGUGGAGCGGUGAAAUGCGUAGAUAUCGUUUGGAACGCCAAUGGUGAAAACAGGUAACUGGAAGUGUGCCGACGCUGAGACACGAAAGCCAGGGGAGCGAACGGG
rnacentral:rRNA from 1 species